AGGGGUGUAGCUCAGCUGGUGGUAGCACUGGUCUCCAAAACCAUAGGUCGUAGGUUCGAGUCCUACCGCCCCUG
rnacentral:tRNA from 1 species